ACCAGACUCCUACGGGAGGCAGCAGUGGGGGAUAUUGGACAAUGGGGGAAACCCUGAUCCAGCGACGCCGCGUGAGUGAAGAAGUAUUUCGGUAUGUAAAGCUCUGUCAGCAGGGAAGAAAGAAAUGACGGUACCUGACCAAGAAGCCCCGGCUAACUACGUGCCAGCAGCCGCGGUAAUACGUAGGGGGCAAGCGUUAUCCGGAAUUACUGGGUGUAAAGGGAGCGUAGACGGUGAUGCAAGCCAGGAGUGAAAGCCCGGGGCCCAACCCCGGGACUGCUCUUGGAACUGCGUGGCUGGAGUGCAGGAGGGGCAGGCGGAAUUCCUGGUGUAGCGGUGAAAUGCGUAGAUAUCAGGAGGAACACCGGUGGCGAAGGCGGCCUGCUGGACUGCAACUGACGUUGAGGCCCGAAAGCGUGGGGAGCAAACAGGAUUAGAUACCCCCGUA
rnacentral:rRNA from 1 species